GAUGAACGCUGGUGGCGUGCCUAAUACAUGCAAGUCGAGCGAACAGAUGAGGAGCUUGCUCCUCUGACGUUAGCGGCGGACGGGUGAGUAACACGUGGAUAACCUACCUAUAAGACUGGGAUAACUUCGGGAAACCGGAGCUAAUACCGGAUAAUAUAUUGAACCGCAUGGUUCAAUAGUGAAAGACGGUUUUGCUGUCACUUAUAGAUGGAUCCGCGCCGCAUUAGCUAGUUGGUAAGGUAACGGCUUACCAAGGCAACGAUGCGUAGCCGACCUGAGAGGGUGAUCGGCCACACUGGAACCGAGACACGGUCCAGACUCCUACGGGAGGCAGCAGUAGGGAAUCUUCCGCAAUGGGCGAAAGCCUGACGGAGCAACGCCGCGUGAGUGAUGAAGGUCUUCGGAUCGUAAAACUCUGUUAUUAGGGAAGAACAAAUGUGUAAGUAACUAUGCACGUCUUGACGGUACCUAAUCAGAAAGCCACGGCUAACUACGUG
rnacentral:rRNA from 1 species